rnacentral:pre_miRNA from 1 species
ACUAAGUGACUUAGUCUAGCUACGUGUGUGUGUGUGUUUAUCAGCCAAACACACACACACGUAGCUAGACUAAGUCUGAUCCAA